CGGGUGAGUAACGCGUGGAUAACCUGCCUCACACUGGGGAUAACAGUUAGAAAUGACUGCUAAUACCGCAUAAGCGCGCAGUACCGCAUGGUACAGUGUGAAAAACUCCGGUGGUGUGAGAUGGAUCCGCGUCUGAUUAGCCAGUUGGCGGGGUAACGGCCCACCAAAGCGACGAUCAGUAGCCGACCUGAGAGGGUGACCGGCCACAUUGGGACUGAGACACGGCCCAA
rnacentral:rRNA from 1 species